AUAUUUACCAGGAAGGGGAAAUACUGUGAUCAUGAAGGUAGUUUUCCCAGGGCAAGGUUUAUCUAUGACGCUCUGGAUGUGCUGGACCCUGUGAUUUCCCCAAAUUUGUGGUAGUUGGGGACUGCGUUCAUGCUUUCUCUUG
ensembl:snRNA LOC120094416 U1 spliceosomal RNA